AUAGUGGGUCUCCAAACAAAAAAA
rnacentral:snRNA from 1 species